rnacentral:lncRNA from 1 species
AUUAUUUUUACAUAGAAUUAGAAUUGCAUAAUAUAUUGGCUUCUGUUGACUAUUCACGUUCUCGAAAAUGUGUAGCCUAAAAUUUGGGAAAGACAAACUCUUAAAAACCUUUCCUGCUUUUUCAAAAGAAUCAUUAAAUAUAAUCAUUUAUUAUUCUGAGCAAUGUGUCUUUACCAGGUACGAGUCCUCUAAAAGAAUCUUAAAUUCCAACAACAAACGCAAUUUAGUGAAGAUUUCUUUUAAACUGAGAGAACCAUGUGAGAACUCUGUGACAAUCCUUGUUUGAUUUUUGAGCAAUAUAAGCAACUCUAAUUAUCUCUAAAAAAGUACACAAAUAAAAUUUUUUGGUUGUCUAAGUCUAGAAAUGGACCACUAAUGGAAAAGUUGUUGAGCUGCCAAUCAUUUCUUUCAAAUGAUCUUAAGUGCAUUAUAUUUAAUGCAUAGAGCUGGCCCAUAUCCAAUAAAGGAACGAGAAGCCCCUUUCUCUACCACAGAUAUACUGAACAAAUAUAGUAUACCAAUAUACAGUAUAUAAGAUAUUGCUACAUUGGUUUAAUAUUUCGAAUGACAUAGUAUAAGCAGAGAUAUCUGUAUAGAGAGAUUGAAGAAAAUGAAACAUAGAUUUUGAACUGCUCUAUUCCAUUUGCAAAAUACUAUAAAAUAUUACACAAUUGGUUUUAUCGAUAGUAAAUGUUUUGCUGUAUUUUACACAAUUUUUUUAGCGAAACUGAUUAUUUACUAAAUUCAUUU